rnacentral:lncRNA from 1 species
AAUAUUAUAUUUCUGUUUGCCCUAAAAAUGCAAUGGUUUCUUAUGUCUUUCAGCCUCAAGCUUUAUUCCAGGAAGGUAAUUCUGAAGAUACCUAUCUUCUUGAGAGUGAAAUUUUAUGAAAUCCUAGAUUUCUCCUACCUAGGAAUAACGCCUGUCAGGAACAGUACUUCAGCAUGGGAAUGUGAUCAAACAGAUCUGCAACCUUGCUCCUCAACAGAGGUUCCACUGUGGUCCAGACCAGCAAGGGCUAUCCAAACCACACAAGACCAGUCCUCAGCAGCCCCACCAUGAAGCAGCAGAUGAAUAUGAAACAUAGUUUAAUCGAUUCUGCUUGCUGUCUGGAGAAACAAGAUGCAUUCCAUUGGACUAAGCUUCAAAAAGUAAACUGAAUUUUCUGCUCUUUAGCAGUGAUUAAUUUUAAAAAUAAAGAUAUGAUCAUGAAAAAAAUGUAUUUUCUACAAGCAGUUCAUGCUAUGAAAUUUAGUAAACUGUAAUUGAAUAAAACGAGAAAUCAAAGAGAUGACAGACAGCAGAAGGAAGUUAAAAUGGAGAUUGCAUACCAAAGGAAAAAAGUGAGGAUCAAAAUAACAUCACUUGAAAUUACCGAAGUUGCCAAAGGGCCUGGUUGAUUGGCUGAUGCCCACUUACAUUAGGGAGGAGAAAUGUAUCUGUUAUUAAACUUAGAAAAGUAUCCAUUAUUAAUGAUAUAUUUGUAUUACAAUAAGUGGAUGCAAAUCAUUCAGGAUUAUACCUCUGAUCCUAUUUAUAUCUCACACAUGAUAAAAACAUUUUGGGGUUUAUGCAUCAUAUAAAUAAUUUGAUUGAAGAAAUUGGUUAUCUAAACAAAAACAUUCAUGUUUAUCAGUGGAGUAAAUUUUUUAUUUUUCUUUUAAUUAUCUAAGACUCAAGGCAAGUGUGGAGUGUGAAAAUAGCAUGUGGCAUUUGACAUUUUGAAAUUUGUUUUCUACAAAGUUUCAGUGAAAACAAUAGCCUGCUACAAUGCUGAUCUGAGAUUUGGACCACGAACAAAAGCUCAGUGUGAUGAGGCUAAUAACCUGUACAGACUAGACAGUUGGCAAUUUACUCAAUCUUCUCCGUAGCAUUUGUUCCACCCACUCCCUUCCCUGUUGGUUUCUUUGAGAUUGCUACAAAAGUCAGGAAAGCGCACAUGUAUAGCUGUGAGAAAUAGCUUAAAUCUUUCCACUUGCAGAAACUAUAUUUAUCUAAGCUGAAACUUGGCUUGCAAAGGUAUUUGUAUUAUGGCUCUGUCUGUUUGUCUACAUUUCUUUAAUUUAUGCAGUAUAUGCUAAUUACUUUUUUAACGUGAAAAUAUUUUGACACUGUUUUUCCUCAUUUCUUUGACUUCUUGAAUAAUUUCAUCGUGAGGAUGGCUCUGAAUCACAUCUGCUCUUCGGGUUUCUAGGCUUUUAUUUAGUGUAUACAUCCUUUAGUAGUGGUGCUCAAGUUUCUUGCUUCUGGAUUCCUAAAAUACUUUUAGUAAAUUGAAAUAUUAUAGAGGUGACUUUAGUUAAUCUGAGUUUUGAUGGUUAAUUCUGGAUAAUCACCACAUCUGGAUAUUCAAAAAAGUAAGGGUACAUAUUUAGACUGACCAAAUUUAGACUUCUUUAUGUUGCAAGAACAAAACAAGAUACUCAGUUUCGAGCUGAGGCAGGUCAUUCAACAAAAUUGAAUCUACCUGACCCUCUCAGAAGCUGUAUAAUGUGUUUUAUCUGUCACCGAGGAAUGAUCAAAAAGAUGCAAUUUUUCUUUAUACAAAGGGAAGUAUCAUGUGAAUUCAGAGAUAACACUUCGUACCUGCUCAUCACUUUUAAAAUCUACCUAAGAUUUUACAUGGGGAAGAAGAUGUGUGUUUGUGAACUUGGGAAAUAGAUUUUGGAAGGUUUCAUCUCUUCAAUCUAAUACAUUUACAAGCUUUCUAAAAUCAAAUGCCACAACCUAGAUAGUGUUCACCCCUGGAGAUGUGGCCCUUUCUUUACCAUUGCCCAGUAUACAUCAUGUCUCUUAUCAAUAGCCUUUUCUGACAAAGCAUCACUCUAAAGGGCCAUUUAACUGAUUGACAAGAGAAGAUGAUCACAUAAUUCAGAAAGGCUCUUGCUGACUAAUCACUUUUCUACACAGUUGAUAAAUACUUAUGGUUUCUUGAACUGGUAUAUCUGAAACAUUUCAUUUACCUUUACUAUUAGGAAACGUUCCCAGGUACAAUGGGAAUAUUAUAGUUCUUGCUGCUACUAUCUUGAUAUGGCCUACCAGAAAUUUAGAAAAAAAAGUGGAAGAGUAUUGCCAAUAUUUCUCAGGGUACAUUGAAGCAGCCUUUGCUAUAGCUGUGAGAUUUUAGAAAGUAUUUUCUAAGACAUCUAUCUUAAACAGACAAGACCAUUUUAAAUUAGACUCAUUAAAUCAUUUGUUGUCACAGCCAACAGCCGUGUGGAGCUAGUUAACAAAUGAAAAAUGAGUCUUUCUAACUUGUUUACUUUAUAUGGAUGCUUCUUUUAUUUCAGUUCUUUUUUUCUUUCUGGUAGCACAUUGACACAGGGGAUCUUAUGGUAUUACCUGACAAAAAUUAAAAAUGUGAAGGUUGAAAAUACUAUAGGUGUAAUGUCCAAGUUUACAUAAAACACCAGUGAAGUUCCUAUUGAUAGUGAAUCUUGGGUAGAUCUUCUAAUUCAAGGAAGGGAACCAAUUAAAACCUCAUUUACUUUGCUGAAAAGGCAACACAGAAUCACUUCAGAAGCACAAGAUUCUUGGCACAGGCAAAGGAAUAUGAUGAUUCAAAAUUCAUUUCUAAAUUUUUGCUUCUAGCUCCUGGCCUACCAGCUCAAGGUUGCUCUCGGCAGCAUGCACUAAGUGUCUUUGUUCAUUUAUUUAUUCUUUUGUUCAUUCAUUCAGUCACUCACCAAUCUGCUUUUAAAGGUUACAAUGGAUGAACGUUACCCUUUCAAAUUCUUUGUCUUUUAAGACAUGUUGUUUGUCUUUGCAAUUGUUAUAAAUUAAUCUUUACUUAAUUUCAGUUUACAAAUACUCUCUUCUUAUUGUAGAUUGGGAUUUUGGGGCUUUUUAAAUUGCAUUGCCUUUUUAGCUAGGGUCUAGAAAAAAAUGCAUGCUGACUUUUUUUGUUUGUUUUAUUGUUCAUUUUAGGAAUCCUGUUUAAAGUUUCUUUACUUUUGUUUAUUUUCUAAUACCUUUUGCCUAAUGUGUUGCUUAGUCUUAAGUGAAAUGGAAUAGAAUAUUUUGGUUAGCCUUGUGUAAUUCUGUGCAUCUCAGAGCUGGCAGCAAGGGGAAUGUUAAUGAUAAAAAGAACUUUGGAAUUUGGUAGAUAAAGGUUUGACUCUCAUCACCAGUUUUCUGAUAUGUAAAAUGGAGAUAAUAAACCCUUUAGGAGUUAAAUUGAAGAUAAAAUGAAACAAAGAUAAAGUUCAUAGAACCUAAUAGACACUCAAUAAAUCUGCCAUCUAUUCAGGAAACUUAAACAAACAAACCUAUUCUUCUGAAUUAUCAGGUCGUGUCUAAAUAGGCAAUAAUGCCUCAUAUUUGCCACUAGUCUCUUUAGCAUCUGAGCUUUCAUUUGAUUAAUGAUUCUAGCCAGCUGAAUAUUAUGUGAAUGUUUGUAUUUUAAAAAGAAUUCAAAUCAAUGUUCAAGUUUUAAUAGACUUAUAUUUUUAAAUUGUUUUAUUUUUUAACUUUUGUUUUAGGUUCAGGGGUACAUGUGCAAGAUGUGCAAGUUUGUUGCAUAGGUAAACGUGUGUCAUGGGGUUGGCUGUACAGAUUAUUUCACCAUCCAGUUAUUAAACCUAGUACCCAUUAGUUAUAUUUCCUGCUUCUCUCCAUCCGCCCACCUUCCACCCUUUGAGAGGCCCCAGUGUAUGUUGUUCCCCUCUAUGUGUCCAUGUGUUCUCAUAAUUUAGCUCUCACUUAUGAGUAAGAACAUGUGGUAUUUGGUUUUCUGUUCCUGCAUUAGUUUGCUAAGAAUAAUGGCUUCCAGCUCCUAGAUUUUUGACAUAGUUAAUAUUAAUUGAGCAUUGGCUUUUUACUGAUACUUGUAACAAAAUUCACUUUAUGAUUAUCCAUAGUUGCAUAAAUAUAAUAUGUAUUUUCUUAUUUAGGUUUUUGGUAACAAUGUUAAAGUAAGCACAAAGCUCACAACAACCCUGGAAUUAGUACUUUAAACACUCCUGUAAUUUAAUUUAUUCCUCUUCAUCAUUGCUCCAUCUUACAGUUUCGCUGUUAGUUGUUUUGUAAGUCAUAUUACAGAAAACAGAUCUAUACUAAUUCCUCAGAUUAUUGAACUUUCUUCAAACUUCUCGUUAACUCAUAUAAUCUACAUGCUAUUUAUUUAGUCAUUCCCCCCAUCUAUCCAAAAUUUUAUCAUUCUAAAUUUCUUCCCAAUUUUCUUGGUUUUCAGUUUGAGCUAGACAUACCUGUACAAGUAGCAAGUCCUGUAUUCACUUAGCCAAUACAUACGUAGCAAUUGCCUAUCAUGUAGCAGGCAUUCUUAUCACUGGAGAGAAAGCAAUGAAUAAAACAUGGUCCCCAACUUCUUGGAAGUUACAUUUCAGUGGGGAAAGGCCAAUGCUUAUUGUAUAAGUAAAUAAGUAAACAAUCUGAUUUGAAAUAGUGAUGUGCUGCGAAGAAAAUGAAAUAUGGUGCCCAACAGCCCAGGCUGCAGGCAGGACUGAAAACUGGAUAUUUGGUCCCCUUGGACCUUCUGGUCACCAUGUGAGGUGGACUUACUUUUCCUUGAGUCAUUUGAAAGGACUGUGAAGUCAAAAGUUUUUAAGACUCUAGGGCUUACUGUGGUUCUGGAUUCCAAGGCAACAUUUCUUUGAAGAAACAAGCUUACAGCUCUGCCGAUGGCUUUCCUCUGCGUGUGCAGCACCCUGCAGCGGGGCCAGCCCAACCACCAGGUCCUGCGGGA